rnacentral:rRNA from 1 species
UACGGGGGGAGCAAGCGUUGUUCGGAUUUACUGGGCGUAAAGGGCGCGUAGGCGGUCAGCACAAGUCAGUUGUGAAAUCUCCGGGCUUAACUCGGAACGGUCAAGAUGAUACUGCUUGCUAGAGUGCAGAAGGGGCAAUGGAAUUCUCGGUGUAGCGGUGAAAUGCGUAGAUAUCGAGAGGAACACCAGAGGUGAAGACGGGUUGCUGGGCUGACACUGACGCUGAGGCGCGAAAGCCAGGGGAGCGAACGGG